CGCUAUCACUCCUACGGGAGCAGCAGUAGGGAAUAUUGGUCAAUGGGCGAAAGCCUGAACCAGCCAUGCCGCGUGUCAGAUGAAGGUCCUCUGGGAUUGUAAAUGACUUUUCUACGGGAAGAAUGAGCCGUCUGCGGACGGAAGUUGACGGUACCGUAGGAAUAAGCACCGGCUAACUACGUGCCAGCAGCCGCGGUAAUACGUAGGGUGCAAGCGUUGUCCGGAUUUACUGGGUUUAAAGGGUACGUAGGCGGUUGUGCCAAGUCUGGGGUGAAAGUUUGCAGCUCAACUGUAAAAAUUAGCCUUGGAUACUGGUCGGCUAGAGUAGUGGAGCGGUGGCGUGGAAUUUAUAGUGUAGCGGUGAAAAUGCUUAGAUACUAUGAGGAACACCAAUUGCGAAGGCAGGUCACUGGUCACUAACUGACGCUGAGGUACGAAAGUGUGGGGAUCAAACAGGAUUAGAUACCCUGGUAG
rnacentral:rRNA from 1 species